rnacentral:rRNA from 1 species
UGCGUAGGCGGACUAUUAAGUUGGAUGUGAAAUACCCGGGCUUAACUUGGGGGGUGCAUCCAAAACUGGCAGGCUAGAGUGCAGGAGAGGGAAGCGGAAUUCCUAGUGUAGCGGUGAAAUGCGUAGAUAUUAGGAGGAACACCAGUGGCGAAGGCGGCUUUCUGGACUGUAACUGACGCUGAGGCACGAAAGCGUGGGGAGCAAACAG